CACGAGGAGCGGGGAGCCCCCGCCGACGUGGGGCUUCGGCAGCAGGCAAAUACCGUGCAAGCCACACAAGGCUGGAGCCCAUUAAGAGGGCAGAGGCCGGUGUAAGAUCAGGAGAUGCAUACCCAGGUGAAGGACUGGGGCCAUCACCCCAUGACGUGUUGGACCGGCGGCUCCUCAGUGUCCCAGGGGACGUUGGUGGCCAAGUAAAAGUCUGACGGGGGACACUGGGGCUAACGUGUUGACAGGUAUCUGAGAUGGCACCGCAGCCCGUGAACGGCAGUGGAUUUUUCUGUUGAUUAAGGGUGUAUUUUGAAAAUAACACAUUUUUAACUGUGACUCAAAUGGAGGGAUGGGACCAGAUUCUCUGCAGAUGACUAAACAUGACGCUACUCCGCAUGGGCAAGGCUUUUUGUAUGGCUAAGUACACCGUGCUUUCAGCUUGCGGGGUAUCGGUACAUGUACCACUGCUGUGCAAUUAUACACUAGACAUUGCCAGCUAUUUGUGGACAGAUGAGGUAUUAUUAUUUUUUUUCCAAGCUCUUUGGUUUGUCUCGCAGUGAAUAAAAUCUUGACCCUGUGCAGUA